rnacentral:tRNA from 1 species
CUAAGGUCGGAUCUUAUCGGUUGUUUGUCAUUUUCGGAUGGUAAUCAGCCCUUUGAUCCCCUUUGAACAAAGGGACCAGAUCAGGUCCUGACAUGCGGAAUGUCGCCGUCUUCGUUUCUCUUUCUUUUCCGGGCGAAUACGCUGGAUCGAUGGGCCAUUUGGGUCUCAUCUCCACGUAUUCUGGGCCAACGCUUUAGGUCUUUGGCCGCGUCCGAUCCUUUGUGGAUUGGAUGCUUAAGCCUUGGGCCUGUAGCUCAGUUGGUUAGAGCGCGCGCUUGAUAAGCGUGAGGUCGGAGGUUCAAAUCCUCCCAGGCCCACCAGCUUCUCAAGGCUUUGGUCUCUACGGGGCCUUAGCUCAGUUGGGAGAGCGGUAGCUUUGCAAGCUUCAGGUCGUCGGUUCGAUCCCGACAGGCUCCACCACUUCCUGCUGUGUGCAGAAAACGCCCGGAAAUCUUUGGUUUUGCUCAUUGUUGUCUGCGAAGACGACGAUAAGUAACGCUGUUUGUCAUUGUGAAGAGGGAAUAGAUCUGAAGACGUCGCUACCCAGCGACAUUCGGGAUGCGGACACCAAGCUGCGCUCGUCUUAUUCGGGUCUAUUCGGCAAGCAAAAAUGGUCUUUCUGAUCAUAUGUACGCAGGCUUUGGUUAGCUUGCGGACAUCGAUCAUGAGAACG